rnacentral:snRNA from 1 species
AAAAAGGGUGCUCGCUACUUAAAUAGCGCUUCAGCACAGGUUAAUUUAACCGUACUGGUGGGGUAUGGCCAAUCAAGACAUACCCAGUACGUAAUUUUUGUAACAGCGAGGUUGUUAGCUGCCACUAAUUGCACUGACGCCUCC